GAGGGUAUAGCUCAGUGGUAGAGCACAUGCUUAGCCUGCACGAAGUCCUGGGUUCAAUCCCCAGUACCUCCA
rnacentral:tRNA from 1 species